rnacentral:rRNA from 1 species
UAGCCGGCCUGAGAGGGUGGACGGCCACAAGGGGACUGAGAUACGGCCCUUUACUCCUACGGGAGGCAGCAGUGGGGAAUAUUGGACAAUGGAGGCAACUCUGAUCCAGCAAUUCUGUGUGUGUGAAGAAGGUUUUAGGACUGUAAAACACUUUUAGUAGGGAAGAAAAAAAUGACGGUACCUACAGAAGAAGCGACGGCUAAAUACGUGCCAGCAGCCGCGGUAAU